rnacentral:rRNA from 1 species
GCGGUGGAGCAUGUGGUUUAAUUCGACGCAACGCGAAGAACCUUACCCAGGCUUGAACUGCGGAGGACACUCUACGAAAGUAGACUUCCGCAAGGACCUCUGUAGAGGUGCUGCAUGGCUGUCGUCAGCUCGUGUCGUGAGAUGUUGGGUUAAGUCCCGCAACGAGCGCAACCCUUGUCUUCUGUUGCCAUCGGGUCAAGCCGGGCACUCUGAAGAGACUGCCGGUGACAAACCGGAGGAAGGUGGGGAUGACGUCAAGUCAGCAUGGCCUUUAUGUCUGGGGCCACACACGUGCUACAAUGGCCGGUACAAACCGUCGCGAGCCCGCGAGGGGGAGCUAAUCGGAGAAAGCCGGUCUCAGUUCGGAUUGUAGGCUGCAACUCGCCUGCAUGAAGUUGGAAUCGCUAGUAAUCGCGGAUCAGCACGCCGCGGUGAAUACGUUCCCGGGCCUUGUACACACCGCCCGUCACAUCACGAAAGCUGGCUGUACUAGAAGUAGCUGAGCCAACCCGCAAGGGAGGCAAGUUCCUAAGGUAUGGUCAGUGAUUGGGGUGAGGUCGUAACAAGGUAGCUGUAGGAGAACCUGCGGCUGGAUCACCUCCUUA